UCACUUGGGUUCCAAUUGCCGGGGUCAUGUUUCCAUUGAUGAUCAUGCUUUUGGUUCCAGUAAGACAAUAUGUCCUUCCUAAAUUUUUCAAAGGAGCACACCUUCAGGACCUGGAUGCAGCAGAGUAUGAAGAAGCUCCAGCUCUGCCAUACAAUAUUGCUACAGUAAGAUUUCUUUUCUGACCCAAAAAAAAAAAAUAAACCAAAGUUCACAUCCUAAGAUUGCUUCAUUCAUAUAUAUAAUUUCUUCGUUAUGUUUGUUUACAGGAGUCUGAGCUGGGGGCUGGGGCUACUCGUGCAGGGGAUGGAGAGAUACUAGAUGAAGUUAUUACCCGUAGCCGAGGAGAGUUCAGGCAUGUGAGCAGUCCUAAAAUUACAAGUACUACUGGAACCCCUGCAAA
rnacentral:lncRNA from 1 species